rnacentral:rRNA from 1 species
UGAGGAAUAUUGGUCAAUGGGCGCAGGCCUGAACCAGCCAAGUCGCGUGAGGGAAGACGGUCCUACGGAUUGUAAACCUCUUUUGUCGGGGAGUAACGUGCGGGACGCGUCCCGUAUUGAGAGUACCCGAAGAAAAAGCAUCGGCUAACUCCGUGCCAGCAGCCGCGGUAAUACGGAGGAUGCGAGCGUUAUCCGGAUUUAUUGGGUUUAAAGGGUGCGCAGGCGGCGCGCCAAGUCAGCGGUCAAAGUUCCGGGCUCAACCCGGUGUCGCCGUUGAAACUGGCGUGCUCGAGUGCGUGCGAGGAAGGCGGAAUGCGUUGUGUAGCGGUGAAAUGCAUAGAUAUGACGCAGAACUCCGAUUGCGAAGGCAGCUUUCCAGCGCGCUACUGACGCUGAGGCACGAAAGCGUGGGGAUCGAACAGG